UGCUUAUAUAAUGCUUAAGCAUUGGGUCUCAAUGGAAAGCCUGAUUUGCCAAAUUCAUUAAAGUGUGGGGCUUGAACUCCAGUUGUCUCCUCAGCCCUGGGGAGCCGCUGGAAUCUCUGCUCAGCCGUGCCAGCCUUCCAGCAGCUUCUCCCCAGCAGGUUCAUUGGAGUCUAUGUCAAUUUGGUAUUUUGGAAUCCAGGUGACUAAGGGCCAGGGAAUCCGGGCAGCCUGCCAUGGGCUUUUAGCUACCAGUUCUGAGGGGCUCACUGUUUCUCUGUGAGUCUUGCCCAUGGCACUUUGGUGAGGAGAGAAGGUGCCAGGAGGGAGGCCACAUCUCUGCAUGUUGACACCAGGAGGCAGGCAAGGCUAUGAACACGUUCUGUCAGCAGAUGCUGGGGCUUCCCCACAUGACUCCCUCGUUUUCAGAAUUUCUCACCCCAGUCCCAGCCACUCCGGUCGCCUCAAUCUCUGGCAGCAAGUCCUCAGCCUCAUCGUGACUCUGCAUUGCCUUCCAAUAGUUGUAUUUUCGUAGGUUUUCCAGAGUAUUUUUGUUCACAGGAGAGUUAAUCUAAUGUAAGCUUCUCUCAACUGUCAGAUGCUAGAAGUCUGAGGCGUGAGUUGUUGUUUUUUUUUAACUUUUAGUUCCACAAAAGCUCUCUGAAAAGGUGACAUUUGAGUCAAGAACUGAAAAACAUGAGUCAGAUAUGCAAUAUUUGGGGUAAAGUCUUACAUAAAGGAAAAAGUCUUGGCGGAUCUGAGACACAGGAAGGGGGCCAGGGUGUCAGAGAGCAGAAGAUGGGGUGAGGAGUGGUGGGAGCCAGCGUGGAAGGUGUUGACUGUAUAGGUGGCCUGGGGUCCCCUCCUGCACCAAGUGGGGUGGCAGUGAGCAGGGUGACUGUCGUCUAUGCUUUCCCCCAUGUUCUUACUAUUUCUCUAGACUGCUGAAGCCGCCUCUGUGCCUCCUGGGUCUACCUUCCACACCAAAUGCCAGGUGCACAUUUUUUUUUUUUCAUUAUACUUUAAGUUCUGGGGUACAUGUGCAGAAUGUGCAGGUUUGUUAAAUAGGUAUACACGUGCCAUGGUGGUUGCUGCACCCGUCAACCCACCAUCUACGUUAGGUAUUUCUCCUAAGGCUCUCCCUCCCCUUGACCCCCACCCCUCGACAAGCCCCAGCAUGUGAUGUUCCCCUCCCUGUGCCCAUGUGUUCUCAUUGUUCAGCUCCCACUUAUGAAUAAGAACAUGUGAUGUUUGGUUUUCUGUUUUUGUGUUAGUUUGUUGAGAAUGAUGGUUUCCAGCUUCAUCCAUGUCCCUGCAAAGGACAUGAACUCAUCCUUUUUUAUGGCUGCAUAGUAUUCCAUGGUGUAUAUGUGCCACAUUUUCUUUAUCCAGUCUAUCAUUAAUGGGCACAUUUUUAAAGCCAAGCUGUGAUUACAUCCAUCUCCUGUCCUCAAACCCUGUCCCUGGAUGUGUGUCCACUGCUCCUGAACACAGUGUAAGCCUUGUAAAGGGUUCAAAGCCACGAUCCAUAUUCCAGGCCACGCCUGAUUUCCUGCACUGUCUUUCACUAUUCAUCCACCCUAUGACCAAAUGGGGAACACUCUUAUUAUCUACACAUAAUGCGUUUACGUCCCUUCCGCCAGGACAUUUCUUAUGAUGCUGUCUCAACUGUGCAUUCCCCUCCCUCAUUCAUCUGUAAACCGCUUCUUGUCCAGGUGCUUCAUUCUUCUUUCUUUUGAGCAGCAAUCAUGUUCUUCUCUCAGAGGGAAAUUAGAUGCCAACUAGGGGGGAACAAACCAGUAUGUGAGACCGCAGUGUCCUCCACCCAUAGUUACAUCCAGCGGGGUCUCAAACAGGAGAGAAAUAACACCUUCCUCCGUGAUGAGUGAUGAAGUGGGUGAGACUGGCUCUUAGUGCCACAUGCAGCACACUCUUGGCCUCCAUCCAUUAGAGGAGCCCUCCACACUUUCUCUUCUUUCUCAGGAUCUUUUCUUCUGUGCCAAAACUCUACCCUAAAUAAAGGUUGUCAAAUUGAUUUCUACCAAAGGAUCAGAACCUUGCUAGAGUGGUUUAUAAGAAAAACACCUGGCCGGGCAUGGUGGUUCAUGCCUGUAAUCCCAGCACUUUGGGAGGCUGAGGCAGGCAGAUCACGAGGUCAGGAGUUCGAGACCAGUCUGGCCAACAUGGUGAAACUCCAUCUCUACUAAAAAUACAAAAAUUAGCCGGGCGUGGUGGCAGAUGCCUGUAAUCCCAGCUACUCGGGAGGCUGAGGCAGGAGAAUCGCUUGAAACCAGAAGGCAGAAGUUGCAGUGAGCCAAGAUCACGCCAGUCUGGACGAAACAUUGAAACUGCAUCUGAAACAACAACAACACACCUGUCGAGUCUUCGAGACGCUUGGAUUUUAAUGAUAUUCCAAGCCUUAUAUGGGAGGAGUGAAUUUCUUUACAGUGGAAUUUUAGUGUCAGAGGAAGCUUGGGGGUGUAUUUUUGUGAAUCCACGGGGUAGGAGGUACCUUACUUUGAGUAUGACCUGGCUGGGUUGAGAGAAGUCUGGGAAGCCUAGCAAAUCCUGCCUAUUUCAAGCAGCAGCAAUACCUGUACACUUUCUAGAAACACACAUUCUCGGUGCCGCCCCAUACCUACUGAACCAGGCCCUUAGCAGGGAGGGAGGGGUUGAGGGGGAGCUAGAGGGCACCCUGCAAACGGUUUUAGGAAAACUUCCAGGUGGCUCUGAAGCAGGCUCAAGUGUGAGAACACUGUCAGCCCUUUCCGGGGGCUCCCAGGCCCUGCCCUCUGUCUCCAGAGGCUCCCCUGAGGGUGAAGGAGAAGCAGCUCUCUUCUUUUAGUCCAAUCUUCUCUUGUCACCUGGCUCCAAGCGUGGAGCCUAGAUCCACACCUUCCAUGCCCACCAUGAGCCUGAAUGUGGAGCUUUGACAAACGGUGCCCCCCGCUCCCUGCCUACUCUCAUCAGAACCAAAGCCCUGGGCCAGGCUACGCUCCUGCUUCAAUAUCUGCCCUGCCUCUGUCUCUCAAGAAAGUGCAGAACGAGAUGAUCAUGGCUGACUCCCACUAGCACAGUCUUUAUUGCGUGCCCGGCACUGAUCUAAUCGACUCCCAUGCCUGGCACGAAAGUUGGGUGGGCAAGGCUCCAGGGAGGUAAGGCAGAGCCACGGGCUCGUGGAGCCUGCCCUGCCUUGGGGAGCAUGAGACGGGAGUGGUGUGUUUCCAGGAAGAGUCGAAGCCAACAGAACUUGAGAAAGUGGCGUGGCAUCUGGCAUCAGUACCGUGGCUGGGAGUGGGUGGGAGGCUUGCACCCAGCCAGCCCCGUGGAACUCCUCACACCUGGGAUGCCCCCGGGAGGGAGGAACCCAGCUUAGCAGGGCGGCUUUCCCUGAGCUGAGGCAGACACAGGCAGGGUCAGGGAAGUUGGGAAUUCAUCAUUCCAGGCCUGGGUCAGAUCCACUUCACCUGGGAUCUGCAUCCUUCCCCAGAGCCUGCUGGUGCUGCAUGGGCAGUGGGAGCUCAGGUGGGGCACAGCGAAUGCCAGAUGGCCCUAUUCCCAGGCCCACAUCGACCUCCACCUGCCUCACCUGAGGGAAUGGCUGUCUCCCCCAUGACAUUUGCCGUGGGACAGGGUUGGAGCUGGACCAAUGUGGACUGGCGGCAUGUGGCCCAAGCUCCCACCCUGGUUGUCUUGGCUCCAGCUAUGAAAAAGGGGGCUCCCUCUACCCCACUGUGGACGGCCACCUCUUCUCAUUUUGCACUCUCCUCUUUUGGAAUCUGGGAGAGAGCUACAGAGGGUCAGCUCUAGGAUCCAGCCUCCAAGCGCAAAGGGCAGAGGGCUCUUCCAAGAACAGCAUUCCAUGCAGACCUCCAACAGACAGACAGACAUCACAAAGGCGUGCUUGAGAAAGGUAUCCAAAUGGCUUCUUCGGUACGUCUCCACGUUCCACCUUCUUGUGGAAGGUGAGAUCUCACCUCUUCCUGGAAGCCCGUCCUGAACACUCCACCAGCUUGGAGCAGGCUCGGCGCUCAGCCUGGGGGUUCCUAACCUCUGGGUGGCUCUCGGGGGUUGGGGGUCUCAGUUGUGAGUCUGGUCUCUGGGUGUACUUGAGGUCAUCGCAGGCAGGACAUUCUCUUCUCUCAAGAUACGCACUCGCCAAGCCAAGGCCGCACAGCCCGCAGGUUCUGGACACUAAGAGAUUGCUCUGUGAUCAGUGGCACCCUGAGAUCCCCUGGCCAGCACAUGGAUGCCUCUCCGGAGGACAGAUCAGCUGCCCACCUGUGCAUUUCUGGCCGCUCCACCAGCAGGCACCACGCCGACUGUCCGCCCACCUGCCUUGCUCUCUCUCCUCUUCUGGAUUCGAUGGCAAGGACCUUCAGACCCAUCAACCUUUGACGACUGUGAGCGUCCAUUGCCGGAGUCGCUUUCCCAACUCAAAUGCAUUUAUUAGGCGCCAUCCUAAUCUACUCCAGGAUUUUAAGAAAGGGGUGGGCUGCUCAAAUUCAUGACGACUGAGUUUUAACUGGCGUUUGUCCCUCAAGGCGUCUCUCAAUGUGGUCUUUAAACAGUUGAUGUUGGGAAACGGUUGCCUCUUCCAACUCUGCGCAUCCUUGAUUCGUGGGCCGUUUCCUUUCAUUCCUGGCUCUUUCCAGAGCUGGUCUGCCACGUGGUACCUUGCCACAUGGAAUUCAGGCAUCCAGCCUGCCCACCAUCAUUUCAUGUCAAGCCUCCUCCCCAAGGGUUGCAAGUUAUGAGUUCAUAAUCUACCUCUGAGCUAUCACAGUGAUCAAACAAUUGUACCCAAUGUUCUGCCUGUGGAUGACAUGGGUCAACAGCCUCCCAUCCUCUCACAAUGGCCCCAGCUUCCCUGGGCAAUGCUGCAGACCACCCUUCUGUUGUGAAAGUCGCCUCGUCCUUAAGCACCUACACAAUUCCGGAUCACCUAGGUUACUGGCUCUCCGGCUUGAACGUGCAGCAGAGUUGCUCAGAGACCUGCUUUCAGAUGAUUCAGCUCUCCCACAACAUUUGGGCCAGCAGGUCUGGGAUGGGGCUCAGGGACUGGCACUUCUAACAAGGUGGUGCCAUUGCUGCCAUUCCCCGGACCCUGCUGGAGACCCACUGGCCUAGGUUAUUCGGCAGAGUAAUCAACAGUCCCUGACAUCAGUGGCUUUAAUAAAACAAAAAUGUGCUUCUCCUGCUCCUGCUACCAGUUCUCACAAGCUGGCAGGGGGCUCACUCAGGGAACCUGCUGGUGACGUAGCCCCUCCACGAAACAUGGCUGGUGCUGUGCCCGAGGGAACCACACCUUCAGACCGGAAGAGGCGAAUGCCACGUGGGCUCAAGGUCAUCGGCUGCAACGAGCCCCGUGCCUUCCCCGACCUCUAGCCACAAGGAGCUAGGGAGUCUAAUCCUGCUACACAGCUGGAAGGGCAGUGCUGGAGAGCUUCAAGAACAUUCUCGCAGGGUGCUGACUGCCAGGAGUGAAGAGUGAGGACAGUACACGGUGGUGUGGACACCCAGCAGUGGCUGAAACUCACUUCUCGGGCUAGUGCCCGGUUACGUUCUAACAUCCUCCCAAGGGCACAAAGCUGUCCAUGCCAGCCUUGGCCACUCCUGAGGGACAAGCUCCACCUAAGGACAGCCGGGGCCAUCCCUUCCUUUCUCUGGGUGGCCAGUGUGGUUAUCUCCAGAGCUCCUAGCGUCCUGGGACUGUGUGCAGUCCUGUCUGGGAGGGGCCUGGCCACACUUAAGAAGAGAGUCACUCACAUCUGUUUACGGUGGAAACACCCAACUCGAUUUAUUGAAAAACUAUUACAGUUAAUUAUUCCUUUGUUACACAAGUUUAGAAUAUUUUAAGAUAUCCUUUCCUG
rnacentral:lncRNA from 10 species